rnacentral:rRNA from 1 species
ACGGGUGGCUGCAGUAGGGAAUCUUCCGCAAUGGACGAAAGUCUGACGGAGCAACGCCGCGUGAGUGAUGAGGGCCCUCGGGUCGUAAAGCUCUGUUGCCAAGGAAGAACAGCCGAGAGAGUAACUGCUCUCGGAAUGACGGUACUUGAGAAGAAAGCCCCGGCUAACUACGUGCCAGCAGCCGCGGUAAUACGUAGGGGGCAAGCGUUGUCCGGAAUUAUUGGGCGUAAAGCGCGCGCAGGCGGUAAUGUAAGUUGGGUGUUUAAGGCGAGGGCUCAACCCUCGUCCGCACCCAAAACUGCAUCACUUGAGUGCAGCAGAGGAAAGUGGAAUUCCACGUGUAGCGGUGAAAUGCGUAGAGAUGUGGAGGAACACCAGUGGCGAAGGCGACUUUCUGGGCUGUAACUGACGCUGAGGCGCGAAAGCGUGGGGAGCAAACAGGAUUAGAUACCCGAGUAGUCAUCUUUCUAGA